rnacentral:rRNA from 1 species
GACGAACCUUGGCGGCGUGCCUAAUACAUGCAAGUAAAACGCUGAAGGCGGCGCUUGCUUCUCUGGAUGAGUUGCGAACGGGUGAGUAACGCGUAGGUAACCUGCCUCGUAGCGGGGGAUAACUUUUGGAAACGAUAGCUAAUACCGCCUAAGAGUAGAUGUUGCAUGACCUUUGCUCAAACGGUGCAAUUGCAUCACUACCAGAUGGACCUGCGUUGUAUUUGCUAGUUGGUGGGGUAACGGCUUACCAAGGCGACGAUACAUAGCCGACCUGAGAGGGUGAUCGUCCAGACUGGGACUGUGACACGGCCCAGACGCGUACGUGAGGGAGCAGGAGGGAAUCUUCGGCAAUGGACGGAAUUCUGACCGAGCAACGCCGCGUGAGUGAAGAAGGUGUUCGGAUCGUAAAGCACGGUUGUAAGAGAGGGUCAGGUGUUAGAGUGGAAAGUGAGCAGUGUGGCGGUACCUUACCAGAAGGGGUCGGCUAACUACGUG